rnacentral:rRNA from 1 species
CGGGUGAGUAACACGUGGAUAACUACCUAUAAGACUGGGAUAACUUCGGGAAACCGGAGCUAAUACCGGAUAAUAUAUUGAACCGCAUGGUUCAAUAGUGAAAGACGGUUUUGCUGUCACUUAUAGAUGGAUCCGCGCCGCAUUAGCUAGUUGGUAAGGUAACGGCUUACCAAGGCAACGAUGCGUAGCCGACCUGAGAGGGUGAUCGGCCACACUGGAACUGAGACACGGUCCAGACUCCUACGGGAGGCAGCAG